CUUGCGGGCAUAUCACAUUGAAACACCCAUUACCGUACGAUCAACGAAGUUAAGCAAGGUCGAGCCUGGUCAGUACUUAGAUGGGUGACCACUUGGGAAUAGCAGCUGC